rnacentral:rRNA from 1 species
UACGUAGGGCGCAAGCGUUGUCCGGAAUUAUUGGGCGUAAAGAGCUCGUAGGCGGCCUGUUGCGUCCGCUGUGAAAUCCCGGGGCUCAACCCCGGGCCUGCAGUGGAUACGGGCUGGCUAGAGGCAGGCAGGGGAGAACGGAAUUCCUGGUGUAGCGGCGAAAUGCGCAGAUAUCAGGAGGAACACCGGUGGCGAAGGCGGUUCUCUGGGCCUGUACUGACGCUGAGGAGCGAAAGCGUGGGGAGCGAACAGG